GUUCUCCCUUGUUUCCCUUGGUGUUUGUGUUUUGACGGAGACGAGCCGGAUCCUCGUCGUCUUCUUGUCGUCACCUCGAGCGUCGAAAAUGCUGUUUUCUCACAAAACUUUGGCACAAUAACGCCGACAAUGAAGGACUACGACGCGGGCAUCGUUUCUCUUCAGACGUUAGAGAGGAUUACCUGUGUGCAGGACGUAAUCCCUUUACACAUAUACCUAGGAGGUAUACCUGAGAAUAAACACGACUCUUGUAAGAUCCCUCCAACGUUCCUCUGUGUGUGUGCGCGACGCUUUUGUAUCUACAUCUCUUAUGUAAACGUCCCGAAGAGCAUACCGAGUCCUCCUCACGUCUCUUCAUCGACUCCCUCGGAUCAUCGUGAACGCCUGAUCUCCCUCGAUUCCUCCGUCGCGCUACACCAUUCCCAUAUAUUCAAAUAUAUCGACAGCGAAUCACCGAGUGGGAUACAAACGAG
rnacentral:misc_RNA from 1 species